rnacentral:rRNA from 1 species
GAUGAACGCUGGCGGCGUGCCUAAUACAUGCAAGUCGAGCGAACGGACGAGAAGCUUGUUUCUCUGAUGUUAGCGGCGGACGGGUGAGUAACACGUGGAUAACCUACCUAUAAGACUGGGAUAACCUCGGGAAACCGGAGCUAAUACCGGAUAAUAUUUUGAACCGCAUGGUUUAAAAGUGAAAGACGGUCUUGCUGUCACUUAUAGAGGGAUCCGCGCUGCAUUAGCUAGUGGGGAAGUGAACGGCUUACCAAGGGAACGAUGGAUAGUCGACCUGAGAGGGGGAUCGCCCACAUUGGAGCGGACACGCCGACCAGACUCCUAAGAGAGGGAGCAGGAGGGAAUCUGACGCAGUAGGCGAAAACAUGACGGAGCAGCGGCGCGGGGGAGAUGGAGGUCUGCGGAUCGUAAAACUCUGUUACGAGGGAAGAACAGAUGUGUAAGGAAAUGUGGACAUCUUGACGGUACUUACUAAGAAGGCCCGGCCAACUUAGUG